GGAUCAUCUGUAUGUAACUUAUGCUGUACCAGAUUCAAAGCAUCUAAUAUGUCUGCAUGCUCCUGAUGCUUUCAGACAUUUGUCUCACGUGAAUCAGUUCCAGCAGCAGGGAUAGCAGAGCAGACCGCCUCAGUGACUUAUGAGCCAGCUGGGUUUUCCUUUGAGUUAAUUGAAAAUUGCAUGACACUGAUUUAAAUGAAGCAGUACUCUGUAAUAACAGUUUUCUUUUCCUUGUCUGACAUGUGAUUGAGUUACAAAGGGGAAUGCAUUUGCAACAGGUGCCUCUAACACAGUGCAGGCAUGAGGGCCUCCAUGUCCACCCUCAGUAACCUCCCUCUGCCCCUGAGCCCUAAGCCUGCCAGGGAAACCUGAUUCCAGUUCAGACACUGGCACACUCUGCUGCUGCAGCCCUCGGAGUCUCCACUGGUGUGCAACCCUGAGAGCUUCAGAGAUGUCCUAGUGAAGGCAACACAUGAGAUACGGUGGAGGCAGACUCAUAGAGACAUCAGUGAGCAAGAAUUCACCUGUUGUGUCUCCAGCCAACAUGAAGACCGCUGCCUCAGUGUGAAAGGUUGCCAUAGACCUGGUGCAGGCCUCUUCGUGGUCUUUUCUCUCUUACACAUACACUCACAGGUUUUUCUUUCUCCAUCUCUUUCUACUUUCUUCAUCCCUUUUAGUACUGAAAACCUCCACUUUCCGAUGUCUAUAAUGAAGUUGCUGCCUGUCCCGGUUAUUUACCUGCUGGAUGUAUUAAAAAAUGGAUGAGGGCUCCAAACAUGGCAGCCAUUUUUUUUUUUUUUUUCAAUUAAAGUUAGUCAUCCAGUGCAUAUGCUUAAGUCU